rnacentral:rRNA from 1 species
AUUGAACGCUGGCGGCAUGCUUUACACAUGCAAGUCGAACGGUAACAGGCCGCAAGGUGCUGACGAGUGGCGAACGGGUGAGUAAUGCAUCGGAACGUGCCCAGUCGUGGGGGAUAACUGCUCGAAAGAGUAGCUAAUACCGCAUACGAUCUAUGGAUGAAAGCGGGGGACCGUAAGGCCUCGCGCGAUUGGAGCGGCCGAUGUCAGAUUAGGUAGUUGGUGGGGUAAAGGCUCACCAAGCCAACGAUCUGUAGCUGGUCUGAGAGGACGACCAGCCACACUGGGACUGAGACACGGCCCAGACUCCUACGGGAGGCAGCAGUGGGGAAUUUUGGACAAUGGGCGCAAGCCUGAUCCAGCAAUGCCGCGUGCAGGAAGAAGGCCUUCGGGUUGUAAACUGCUUUUGUACGGAACGAAACGGCUCUGGUUAAUACCCGGGGCUAAUGACGGUACCGUAAGAAUAAGCACCGGCUAACUACGUG